GAAUUUAUAGAUCAUCUUAACUCUGAGAUAAAGUGAAAAAAAGAGCUCAUGUUCCAGCAGAUGAGAAAGACAUGGAAACAGUCAUUGCAAGACACUGACAGGAGCCACAAACCAGGUAUGCAUUACAACGGGCUUUGGAACACUGGGAGGCUUAAAUAAAUCGAGUUAAGUGACUUAUGAAAGAAUAGGAGUUCAGGCAUGGCCAGCAGGGGCAAAAGACAUUCAAGAAAGAGGAAAAGAAGUGCAGAGAUCAGGAGUGGGGCUGAGGGGUAAGGAGGGGUGGAGAACAGCAUGAUUUUCUGGGAACUGUAAGGGAUUUAAUAAGUCUUGAAUGUAACAUAAGGAAGAAGAGGGGUAGACAGUAAGCAUAGAAAGUAAGCAGAAGCCAGAUCAUGGUGGAAGUGGGGUGGCAGCAGGUCUUCCAAGCCAGUAGAAAGUGGAAAAGGGCAGCUGCUCUGCCCUCGAACCCACCCCAUUUUCCAUAGGAGGAUCAGGAAGAUAUCUGGGAAGAAGAGACGUACCUAAAAGAAAUUUUUUUCUUUAAAAGCCAUUUAUGCCAUGUACUGGGCAACAUAAACUCCCCUUGUGCCUCCAAAAAUCUUUAGAGAAAUUGCAAAAAAGUUAUGAUGGGUGUGGUAUAAUUGCUUUUAUUGUUAUAGCUAGUUUAGAGGCUGAGUUUUGUAUUAAGGAUAGCUCAGAAUCAGCUCAUGCUGAUAAAGAGGGAACUGACCUCUGAGUUUUUAAAUCAUGCCCUGUAAUGAAUAGUUCAUAUUCCUGACAAAGUAAUCAAAUUCAUUAACUAGCUUUAGUCCUAGUAGGAGCCCCUUUAUUUCAGGAAUUGACAUCAAGCCUAAUCUGUUCCAGGAGGAAUGAAUCUCCUCCAUUGAGCAUAUGCUUACCAAGUGCCUAUCACACUUACCAUAUACAGAUAUGAAGAAACCUCAGUAAGACUAAAUUCUAUAUUGAGGGACUGUUCACCUUUAUUUGCCCACUCAGGAUACCAGGCAUCUAAUAGGAAGGCUGGGCCCAUUCAGUCCAGAUUUAUAACAACUCCUCAAGGAAUCUGUGAAACCAACUGCAAGUACUUGUUGAGACUAAGCCAACAUUCUUUGCGAAGCUCACAAUCUAUGUCAGAAGAUUAGACAUGCAAGUGUCUGUUGAAGUAGCUGGAGAGUGAGGCAGGAGGAGUGGAAGGAUGGCCAGCAGCAUGGAACCCACAAGGGGAGAUUUCAGAGGAGCCUCAAUGGUGUGGGGGGUCAGGAAGAAAAAGGACCAGACAGCUGUGAAUUUUGUUUCCAGGACAUAAAUAGGGGAUUUCUAGCAAAUACACCCAGGAAGAAGUUGAGACAUCCCCCAGGCUUGCGCAGUGCCCCUCCAUUGAAACCAAGCACACUAAACUCACCGCCAGCCUUCUUGGUGGGUCCAUUAGUGCUCAUCUCCCGUUCCCUCUGCCGCACCAGAACCUCAACUCCAGUCGCUCACCAGCUGCCCCUUAAAGGCACCCCUCACUGGCCACUGCCCUGUCAGUGAAGAGUAGCUGCCUCCACUAGAAGGCCUCCCACUCCCUUUCCCCUAAGCCAAUGACUGCCUCCCUAACAUCUCUCAAUUCUCUCCAUUCCCACUGCCGCUGUCCAGUUGAGACCACCAUCACCUCCAAUCUGCAUCACUGCUGAUGCAGUCGUGACUUCUGAACUAGGCUCUCGGCUCUGGUUCCCUCCUCUCUAAUUAAGAAUCCACAUUGCCACCAGAGCAAGUAACAGACCUAUCAAAUCUAUUACUCUGCUGAGUAAAACUCAAGAGAUAAAAUCUCAACUCCUGAGUGCAGCUUGAAUUGUGUCCCCCCAAAUUCAUAUGUUGAGUCCCUAACCCCCAAUGUGACUGUUUUUAGAGAUGGGGCCUUUCAGGAGGGCAUUAAGGUUAAACAUGGUGAGAUGGGUGGGUCCCAAUCUGACAGGAUGGGUGUCCUUAUAAGAAGAGGGUGAGACGCCAACAGUGUGUUCUGCACAGAGGACACAGCAAGAAGGUGGCCCUUUGCAAGCCAAGGAGUAUGGCU